CCUACGGGAGGCAGCAGUGGGGAAUUUUGGACAAUGGGCGAAAGCCUGAUCCAGCAAUGCCGCGUGAGUGAAGAAGGCCUUCGGGUUGUAAAGCUCUUUUGUCAGGGAAGAAACGGGUGCGGGCUAAUAUCCUGCACUAAUGACGGUACCUGAAGAAUAAGCACCGGCUAACUACGUGCCAGCAGCCGCGGUAAUACGUAGGGUGCAAGCGUUAAUCGGAAUUACUGGGCGUAAAGCGUGCGCAGGCGGUUUUGUAAGUCUGUCGUGAAAUCCCCGGGCUCAACCUGGGAAUUGCGAUGGAGACUGCAAGGCUAGAAUCUGGCAGAGGGGGGUAGAAUUCCACGUGUAGCAGUGAAAUGCGUAGAGAUGUGGAGGAACACCGAUGGCGAAGGCAGCCCCCUGGGUCAAGAUUGACGCUCAUGCACGAAAGCGUGGGGAGCAAACAGGAUUAGAUACCCUGGCAGUCCACGCCCUAAACGAUGUCUACUAGUUGUCGGGUUUUAAUUAACUUGGUAACGCAGCUAACGCGUGAAGUAGACCGCCUGGGGAUACGGUGCAAGAUUAAAACUCAAAAGGAAUUGAACGGCGNGAGACGAGACGACGGACGACGACGAGGGAGGAGG
rnacentral:rRNA from 1 species